rnacentral:misc_RNA from 1 species
GAUGAAGAACGUAGCGAAAUGCGAUAAGUAAUGUGAAUUGCAGAAUUCAGUGAAUCAUCGAAUCUUUGAACGCAUCUUGCGCUCCUUGGUAUUCUGAGGAGCAUGCCUGUUUGAGUGUCAUUAAAUUCUCAACUACACUGACUUUGAAUUGGUGUGGCUUGGAUUUGGGGGGAAAAUUGUUGUGGGCUUUUUGUAUAGUCUGCUCCCCUGAAAUUGAUUAGCGAUACCUUUGUGGAACUGUCUACAGGUGUGAUAAUUAUCUACAUCUUAGACAUCUGCUGGAAUGCUGCUUUCUAAACCUUACUUGUAUUGACAAUCUUGACCUCAAAUCAGGUAGGACUACCCGCUGAACUUAAGCAUAUCAAUAAGCGGAGGA